rnacentral:lncRNA from 1 species
AAACGAUACAAAGAUCAUCAUUGGAUUGCGUUUAGACAGGUACUAACAUUUUAUAAUAUAAGAUUUAUUUCCCACCCUGUAUUAUUUUUUUAAGAUCCAAAUUGGUACGUUUAACUAUAUGGGACAACGAGGCGGCUAAUUUCAGAGAGCUCAAUCGCAUAUCUACAAGGAAAAACCAAAUCGUAAUCAUCACAAGUAUAAUUCCACGGUUACAUGAAGGUAAUAAACUAAACAUAAAUUUUAUGUCAACUAAAUGCUUACAUAUAUUCCACUUCUACAGGAAAACUAUCACUCACAACCACACCAGGAUCGCGCUUUUACUUUGACAACAACAUUGAUAUCAUACAACGCU